UCCUGGCUUAGGAUGAACGCUAGCGGCAGGCUUAACACAUGCAAGUCGAGGGGCAUCGGGAGUAGCAAUACUGCCGGCGACCGGCGCAAGGGUGCGUAACGCGUGAGCAACAUGCCCGUAUCAGGGGGAUAAUCCAUGGAAACGUGGUCUAAUACCCCAUAGUAAUUAUGUAAGGCAUCUUAUAUAAUUUAAAGCUUUGGUGGAUACGGAUUGGCUCGCGUGACAUUAGCUGGAUGGUAAGGUAACGGCUUACCAUGGCUACGAUGUCUAGGGGUUCUGAGAGGAAGGUCCCCCACACUGGAACUGAGACACGGUCCAGACUCCUACGGGAGGCAGCAGUGAGGAAUAUUGGACAAUGGAUGGAAAUCUGAUCCAGCCAUGCCGCGUGCAGGAAAAGACGGCCCUAUGGGUUGUAAACUGCUUUUGUAUGGGAGCAAUAAGGGCUACGUGUAGUCCGAUGAGAGUACCAUACGAAUAAGCACCGGCUAACUCCGUGCCAGCCGCAGC
rnacentral:rRNA from 1 species